rnacentral:rRNA from 1 species
GGCCAAGUUUUUAAGGGCGCACGGUGGAUGCCUUGGCACCAGGAACCGAUGAAGGACGUGGGAGGCCACGAUAGUCCCCGGGGAGUCGUCAACCAGGCUUUGAUCCGGGGGUUUCCGAAUGGGGAAACCCGGCAGUCGUCAUGGGCUGUCACCCAUGCCUGAACACAUAGGGCAUGUGGAGGGAACGCGGGGAAGUGAAACAUCUCAGUACCCGCAGGAAGAGAAAACAACCGUGAUUCCGGGAGUAGUGGCGAGCGAAACCGGAUGAGGCCAAACCGUAUACGUGUGAGACCCGGCAGGGGUUGCGUGUACGGGGUUGUGGGAUCUCUCUUCUGUUGUCUGCCGGCAACAGGACGAGUCAGAAACCGUUGAUGUAGGCGAAGGACAUGCGAAAGGUCCGGCGUAGAGGGUAAGACCCCCGUAGUCGAAACGUCAGCGGCUCGUUUGAGAGACACCCAAGUAGCACGGGGCCCGAGAAAUCCCGUGUGAAUCUGGCGGGACCACCCGCUAAGCCUAAAUAUUCCCUGGUGACCGAUAGCGGAUAGUACCGUGAGGGAAUGGUGAAAAGUACCCCGGGAGGGGAGUGAAAUAGUACCUGAAACCGUGUGCCUACAAGCCGUGGGAGCGUCGGAAUGGAGCUUGCUUCAUUCUCGUGACUGCGUGCCUUUUGAAGAAUGAGCCUGCGAGUUUGCGGUGUGUUGCGAGGUUAACCCGUGUGGGGAAGCCGUAGCGAAAGCGAGUCCGAAUAGGGCGCUGGAGUAGCACGCUCAAGACCCGAAGCGGAGUGAUCUAGCCAUGGGCAGGUUGAAGCGGAGGUAAGACUUCGUGGAGGACCGAACCCACCAGGGUUGAAAACCUGGGGGAUGACCUGUGGUUAGGGGUGAAAGGCCAAUCAAACUCCGUGAUAGCUGGUUCUCCCCGAAAUGCAUUUAGGUGCAGCGUCGUGUGUUUCUUGCCGGAGGUAGAGCACUGGAUAGGCGAUGGGCCCUACCGGGUUACUGACCUUAGCCAAACUCCGAAUGCCGGUAAGUGAGAGCGCGGCAGUGAGACUGUGGGGGAUAAGCUCCAUGGUCGAGAGGGAAACAGCCCAGAGCAUCGACUAAGGCCCCUAAGCGUACGCUAAGUGGGAAAGGAUGUGGAGUCGCACAGACAACCAGGAGGUUGGCUUAGAAGCAGCCACCCUUGAAAGAGUGCGUAAUAGCUCACUGGUCUAGUGAUUCCGCGCCGACAAUGUAGCGGGGCUCAAGCGUACCGCCGAAGUCGUGUCAUUGCGAUAUGUACCCCCAACGGGGAUCGUGAUGGGUAGGGGAGCGUCGUCUGCCGGGUGAAGCAGCCGCGUAAGCGAGUUGUGGACGGUUGACGAGUGAGAAUGCAGGCAUGAGUAGCGAUACAAACGUGAGAAACGUUUGCGCCGAUUGACUAAGGGUUCCUGGGUCAAGCUGAUCUGCCCAGGGUAAGUCGGGACCUAAGGCGAGGCCGACAGGCGUAGUCGAUGGAUAACCGGUUGAUAUUCCGGUACCCGCUGUGAAGCGUCAAACAUCGAAUCCAGUGAUGCUAAGCCCGUGAAGCCGUCCUGCCUCAGCUUUGCUGUGGUGGGGAGUGGUGGAGCCGGUGACCCGAGCUGGUAGUAGGUGAGUGAUGGGGUGACGCAGGAAGGUAGUCCAUCCCGGGCGGUGGUUGUCCCGGGGUAAGGGUGUAGGACGCGAGGUAGGCAAAUCCGCCUUGCAUACAGUCUGAGACCUGAUGCCGAGCCGAUUGUGGUGAAGUGGAUGAUCCUAUGCUGUCGAGAAAAGCCUCUAGCGAGUUUCAUGGCGGCCCGUACCCUAAACCGACUCAGGUGGUCAGGUAGAGAAUACCGAGGCGUUCGGGUGAACUAUGGUUAAGGAACUCGGCAAAAUGCCCCCGUAACUUCGGGAGAAGGGGGGCCACAACCGGUGAUGAGCUUCGCGCUCUGAGCUGGGGGUGGCCGCAGAGACCAGCGAGAAGCGACUGUUUACUAAAAACACAGGUCCGUGCGAAGCCGUAAGGCGAUGUAUACGGACUGACGCCUGCCCGGUGCUGGAACGUUAAGGGGACCGGUUAGCUUGGAUUCGUCCAGGCGAAGCUGAGAACUUAAGCGCCAGUAAACGGCGGUGGUAACUAUAACCAUCCUAAGGUAGCGAAAUUCCUUGUCGGGUAAGUUCCGACCUGCACGAAUGGCGUAACGACUUCUCGACUGUCUCAACCAUAGGCCCGGUGAAAUUGCACUACGAGUAAAGAUGCUCGUUUCGCGCAGCAGGACGGAAAGACCCCGGGACCUUUACUACAGUUUGAUAUUGGUGUUCGGUUCGGCUUGUGUAGGAUAGCUGGGAGACUGUGAAGCUUGGACGCCAGUUCAGGUGGAGUCGUCGUUGAAAUACCAGUCUGGUCGUGCUGGAUGUCUAACCUGGGUCCGUGAUCCGGAUCAGGGACAGUGUCUGAUGGGUAGUUUAACUGGGGCGGUUGCCUCCUAAAGGGUAACGGAGGCGCCCAAAGGUUCCCUCAGCCUGGUUGGCAAUCAGGUGUUGAGUGUAAGUGCACAAGGGAGCUUGACUGUGAGACCGACGGGUCGAGCAGGGACGAAAGUCGGGACUAGUGAUCCGGCGGUGGCUUGUGGAAGCGCCGUCGCUCAACGGAUAAAAGGUACCCCGGGGAUAACAGGCUGAUCUUCCCCAAGAGUCCAUAUCGACGGGAUGGUUUGGCACCUCGAUGUCGGCUCGUCGCAUCCUGGGGCUGGAGUCGGUCCCAAGGGUUGGGCUGUUCGCCCAUUAAAGCGGUACGCGAGCUGGGUUUAGAACGUCGUGAGACAGUUCGGUCCCUAUCCGCUGUGCGCGUAGGAGUCUUGAGAAGGGCUGUCCCUAGUACGAGAGGACCGGGACGGACGAACCUCUGGUGUGCCAGUUGUUCUGCCAAGGGCAUGGCUGGUUGGCUACGUUCGGGAGGGAUAACCGCUGAAAGCAUCUAAGCGGGAAGCCUGCUUCGAGAUGAGGACUCCCACCCACUUGAUGGGGUAAGGCUCCCAGUAGACGACUGGGUUGAUAGGCCGGAUAUGGAAGCACGGUAACGUGUGGAGUUGACCGGUACUAAUAGGCCGAGGGCUUGUCCUC